rnacentral:rRNA from 1 species
UACAGGGGGUGCAAACGUUGCUCGGAAUCAUUGGGCGUAAAGCGCACGUAGGCGGUUUGUUAUGUCGGAUGUGAAAGCCCUUGGCUCAACUGAGGAAGUGCAUCCGAAACUGGCAAGCUAGAGUACUAAAGAGGGUCGCGGAAUUCCCGGUGUAGAGGUGAAAUUCGUAGAUAUCGGGAGGAACACCGGUGGCGAAGGCGGCGACCUGGGUAGAUACUGACGCUGAGGUGCGAAAGCGUGGGGAGCGAACCGG